rnacentral:lncRNA from 1 species
AGUUGUGGAAGGUAGAAUGGAAAUUGCAACAACAAAAUCCUAAUUCUAAUAGAAUAUUAAUAAUACUCUAAUUAGACCAUAAUAAUGCUAAGCAAGCUUUAAUCAAAUUCAAAAAAACCUCAAAGAAAUUUCAAAGAAAUAAUAAGAAAUAUUAAAGAAAUAUUAGAAUGAUCACAAAUAUAUCUCAAAUACACCUCAAUUCAAUCUUAAUUAAAUCUAGUUUAAAUUCUAUUGGACUUCAUUCAAACUUUAGACCAAAAUUAAUUAAAUCUUAAACCUUAAAAAAAUCCUAAUAAAAUCCUAAAUCCUAAAUCAAAUCCUAAACCCUAAACCAAAUCCUAACUAAAUCCUAAAUCCUAAACGAAGCCCUAAAUAAACCUUAAACCAAAUCCUAACCAAAUCCUAAUCCAAAUCCUAAAUCCUAAACUAAAUCCUAAUCAAAUCCUAAAUCCUAAAUGAAAUCCUAACCAAACUCUAAACCCUAAAUCAAACCCUAU